UGUGCAACAUGGUUAUGGGUACUACAGUGGAUGUGAGUGUGUAGACCUUGUACAAUAGAGCUUAUAGGCUAAUGAGAAGACAGGAAGAAACAACAGGAACACAUAUAGCUGGAAUGCAGAUGGGAUCUGUGCUACUUACGCUAGCCAUGGGAUGAUUAGAACAAGAUAAGAGACAUGAGGAAGACUUCUUCAAGGAGGUGCUCAAGCCAUGUUUUGGAAAAGAGAACUCAAGGUCUGGCAGGGAGAAAGGAGCAAGACUGCCUGGCAGCUCUUUAGAAAGUUGUGUGACGUAUGAACCAGUUCUUCCCUAUAUGAGAGUGUACCGUACAUCGCAGGCUGUCCAGCAUCGACCCCACUGAUGGAUGCUAGUAGUCCUCCCCGCCAGCACUCAACAUUGUGACAGUCAAAAACAUCCUCUCUACAUUUUCAAUGCCCCUGUUGGGGUAGCAGGACUCCCACUGAGAGACCCCAGUAGAGAUGGUCCCCAAGCAUGCUAACCAUGAAGCAGUGAUAUCGCACAGCACCUGCUUCCAGCAGCCCGGAGCCAAGGGGCAAAAUGGAAAGAGUCAGCAUUUCUCUUUUAGGAAGACUGAAGAAACCUAAUCCUAGGUGCUGCCACUGGGACAAACAAGAAGCACCAGACACAGUGCUGUUUUAGGGUGGGGCAGAAUUAUGCUGAGGGAAAAGUUAUUAUCACUCUUUAAGGCCAAGGAAACCACAAUUUUUAAAGAAGCUUCUAGAAAUUCUACCCAGUAGAAAAUAAAGAUAAACUUCUGUAA
rnacentral:lncRNA from 1 species